rnacentral:pre_miRNA from 14 species
UUUUACUAUUGAAAGAUCCCCGAAGAGAGAUCCUUACUCAAGUCUUGGGAAAUUGCAGACCCCAGACACAGAGAGAUCA